rnacentral:rRNA from 1 species
UACGUAGGGUGCGAGCGUUAAUCGGAAUUACUGGGCGUAAAGCGUGCGCAGGCGGUUUUGUAAGCCGGAUGUGAAAUCUCCGGGCUUAACCCGGAGCGGCCAAGUGAUACUGUCGUGCUAGAGUUCGGUAGGGGAGACUGGAAUUCCUGGUGUAGCGGUGAAAUGCGCAGAUAUCAAGAGGAACACCUGCGGCGAAGGCGGGUUGCUGGGCCGACACUGACGCUGAAGCGCGAAAGCCAGGGGAGCGAACGGG